rnacentral:rRNA from 1 species
AUUGAACGCUGGCGGCAUGCUUUACACAUGCAAGUCGAACGGCAGCGGGGAGGAGCUUGCUUCUCUGCCGGCGAGUGGCGAACGGGUGAGUAAUACAUCGGAACGUGUCGAGAAGAGGGGGAUAACCACCCGAAAGGGUGGCUAAUACCGCAUAAAUUCUGAGGAAGAAAGCUGGGGACCUAGGAAUAGGCCUAGCGCUUUUUGAGCGGCCGAUGUCGGAUUAGCUAGUUGGUGAGGUAAAGGCUCACCAAGGCGAAGAUCUGUAGCGGGUCUGAGAGGAUGAUCCGCCACACUGGGACUGAGACACGGCCAGACUCCUACGGGAGGCAGCAGUGGGGAAUUUUGGACAAUGGGGGCAACCCUGAUCCAGCCAUGCCGCGUGUAUGAAGAAGGCCUUAGGGUUGUAAAGUACUUUUGUUAGGGAAGAAAAGUCAGCUGUGAAUAAUGGCUGAUACUGACGGUACCUAAAGAAUAAGCACCGGCUAACUACGUG